rnacentral:lncRNA from 1 species
UGGUCGACCGUCGUGGAAACUUGGAUGGAGUCUGGUUAUCGUAGAAAUCUCACUGUCGGGGAAGCUCGGAUGCAGACAAAGUCCGGAAGAAAUUUAGAAAAUAGUUGGUUGCUGUAGAAGGUCGGCUAACAGUGGAGUGCGGAGGGCCUUUGGGGUGGCCUAGUGGAUGAGUGCAGAAGUUCAUUGUCGGAGAAGUCCGGAUGAUGAGGGGGUUCGGAGAGAUGCCACACAUAAGAUCGGGAGCCGGAAGAGCCCUGGAAGGAUUGGUCUUUUACGAACUUCGAUCGAAGGGUAUUUUAUACCCAACAACUAUAAUUCAUUGAUCUAAUAUGAUUAGUAUUAAUGAUUAUAGAUUAA